GAUGAACGCUGGCGGCGUGCCUAAUACAUGCAAGUCGAGCGACGCGGGGACGGGGGAGUAACACGUGGGUAACCUCCUAUAAGACUGGGAUUACUUCGGGAAACCGGAGCUAAACCGGCUUCUUAUCGCUGGUUCCGCGUUGCAUUAGCUAGUUGGUAAGGUAACGGCUUACCAAGGCAACGAUGCAUAGCCGACCUGAGAGGGUGAUCGGCCACACUGGAACUGAGACACGGUCCAGACUCCUACGGGAGGCAGCAGUAGGGAAUAUUCCGCAAUGGGCGAAAGCCUGACGGAGCAACGCCGCGUGAGUGAAGAAGGUCUUCGGAUCGUAAAGCUCUGUUAUUAGGGAAGCGGUACCUAAUCAGAAAGCCACGGCUAACUACGUGCCAGCAGCCGCGGUAAUUC
rnacentral:rRNA from 1 species